UACGUAGGUGGCAAGCGUUAUCCGGAAUUAUUGGGCGUAAAGCGCGCGCAGGUGGUUUCUUAAGUCUGAUGUGAAAGCCCACGGCUCAACCGUGGAGGGUCAUUGGAAACUGGGAGACUUGAGUGCAGAAGAGGAAAGUGGAAUUCCAUGUGUAGCGGUGAAAUGCGUAGAUAUCUGGAGGAACACCGGUGGCGAAGGCGACAUCCUGGACCGGUAUUGACGCUGAGGCGCGAAAGCCAGGGGAGCAAACGGG
rnacentral:rRNA from 1 species